CAACUGUACGGCAGCGUUGUUGUGACAGAUGGAGAGAGCGGUGUUUUUGACGCUUGAAAGCGGAGGUGUCAGAUUUGAGUUUGGAUUGCGGAGAAGCUUUAUGAUGGAUACAAUGCCACGGACCAGUAGCAACAUAAUUUGCUUUGCAAAAAGACAGUAAAUACCAUUUUGGCUUGCCGAUUCACUUCCCAGUCAGAAUUUUUGCUCGAGCUUCAAGUUUAUUUGGCUGAAGAACAAACCAUCGAAACCUUUUCUGUUCGUUGCGGUUUUACUGACUUUAGGAAAACCCUGCAUCUACAAGGUAUCCUGCACCCACUACAAACUAUACUACAAACCAGAUUGGAGGAGCAUCUAGCCAAGAAUGUGUAAAAGGCUAAUGGGGAAUUACAUGAAAGCCUUGUCCCCCAUUUCAGGUUAGCAGUAACUGAGCACAUCAUAAAGAAAAAAGCAUAAUAACAGAGCAUAGAACAGAACACCGAUGAAGUCUGCAAAGGGUAGACGAAAUACGUAUCUGUCAAGAUAUUAAAAUAUACAGCGGAACUUAAAGGAACAACACG